AACUCUGUGACAACCUGCAGCUGCUACAAAGGAGAGGAUCUGAGGGGCUCUAAUCAUGCCACGCAAUGGAUGUGGAAGUGUCUCAUUAACUCAGCUCUCAGGACUAGAUUAAACCGACAGCUGUGGGGCUGUUCGAGAAGGGUGCCGACAGAAGGGGGUCUGACGUGGGUGCUUCACCUGUUGAACAUGACGACCGGGAAAGGAAAUCAACUGUUUCUGCUCUGACAAUGGCAUAGAAGAAAACCCAGAUGGAGUUGUUGUCCGGUGAAUGCUGGAAAACAUUUUUAAAAAAUGUUAAGAAUAUAUGAGAGACAUCACAAAAAAGGGGAUUAUUUGUCCACUCCAACUAGAAGCAGAUCUUGAAGGGUGCCAACAAAAGUCUUCCCUCUGUUCAGCUCAUCCCCUGCGAUCUGACCCUGAGAUGCCAGGAAAGAAUUUCCAGAUCAAAAGAAACAGGAAUAUCUAUUCCAGCUUUCAUAUUUGGUUAUCGACCCUCACUGGAUAACAGGAAGUCUUCAAAACCAGAUCCAGCCUCAAGUUAAAGCAGAAGAAGAAUCAUCUUCCAGAGCAGUGCAGACAAGUAUCUAUUUCAGUGUCACACAAAUGCUUUAAUAUUGCUCCUAGAUCCAGUUUCCUGAAAUAUAUAUACCUCUCCCAGCCCUUUCAGUAUCGGACGUCAUAGGGAACAGAAAAAGGAAUGACAACAGCUUGCAUAUUUAUGGACAACACAAGAAGAUGAUACUGUUACAAUGGCAGGACAAAUCAAAGCGAUAACUAUAAAGUGCAGAGCUUUGGGGGAAGUAGGGGGGACCCCAAACCUUUUACAGAAGAACCUGAGAUAUGGACGAGAACCUUCAUUACAGAUGGCAAUAAAGAUGGAAGGCUUGAAAUGAGCUGCAAAAAGACUUCAGAGUCGGUGCCAGGGACACCGAGGCAGAAAAUGACAGACCAUGUUUCCUCUUACCACUCUCUUCUGUUACACCACCAUCUGUCUCUGUGUCCUAAGGUCAAUUAAACUUUUGUUCGGUGAAAUUGCUCUGGAGCCAAGACUCCAGGAACAUGAGGUAUUGAUUGUGAACCUCGCACAUGGACCACAAGAUCUUUUCAGCCUAACACGCAGGCAGAAACAGGAAGAGAAACACUUCAACUUUCGCAGAGCGCUUGGCCGGCUCUUAAACCCACUUGGGACAUGGCGGUGCUUCCAUGGAAACCAAAUCAUGAAAUCUCCCCCUGGAAACACAGCCCA
rnacentral:lncRNA from 1 species